rnacentral:rRNA from 1 species
UCAAGCUACUAAGUGCAAUUGGUGGAUGCCUUGGUGCCAAGAGGCGAUGAAGGACGUAGCAAGCUGCGAUAAGCCACGGUUAGCCGCAAGCAGGCUUUGACCCGUGGAUUUCCCAAUGGGACAACCCGGCUACCCCUCAAAGGUAGUCAUCUACAGAUGAAUGAAUAGUCUGUAGAAGCAACACGGGGUGAAGUGAAACAUCUCAGUACCCCCAGGAAAAGAAAAUGAAAUGAUUCCGUAAGUAGUGGCGAGCGAAAGCGGAGGAGCCCAAACCAGAGAAACUUGUUUCUCUGGGGUUGUGGGACCUCGAUAUGGGACCGCGAAGGUGAGUGUAAUGAACUGGAAAGUUCAACCAGAGACCGUGACAGUCGGGUGCGCGAAGCCAGAGUGGCCCUAGGGGUAUCCCAAGUAAUGCGGAACACGUGAAACUCUGCAUGAAUCUGUCCAGACCACUGGAUAAGGCUAAAUACUACUUGGCAACCGAUAGUGAACUAGUACCGUGAGGGAAAGGUGAAAAGAACCCCUGUUAGGGGAGUGAAAUAGUACCUGAAACCAAUUGCAUACAAAGUGUUGGAGUUCGGCUUCGGCCGGAUGACAGCGUGCCUUUUGCAUAAUGAGUCUGCGAGUUAUUGUCUGUGGCGAGCCUAAAUUUCUCUGAAAUGGAGGCGAAGCGAAAGCGAGUGUGAAAUGCGCGUUUAGUGGCAGGCGAUAGACCCGAAGCGGAGGUGAUCUACUCAUGAGCAGGUUGAAGCUGCGGUAACACGCAGUGAAGGACCGAACCGGUGUAUGUUGAAAAAUGCUCGGAUGACUUGUGAGUAGGAGCGAAAGACUAAUCAAACCCCGUGAUAGCUGGUUCUCUCCGAAAUAGCUUGAGGGCUAGCGUCGGAUAAGUACUCCAAGGAGGUAGAGCGCUGGAUGGACUAGGGCCCAUACCCGGGUACCAAAACCAAUCAAACUCCGAAUGCCUUGGAUCCCAUUAUUCCGGCAGUCAGUCGGCGAGGGAUAAGCUUCGUCGGCGCGAGGGAAACAUCCCAGACCGCCAGCUAAGGUGCCUAAAUAUGAUUAAGUGGAAAGGAUGUGACGUUGCUUAGACAGUGAGGAUGUUGGCUUAGAGGCAGCCACCAUUUAAACAAUGCGUAAUAGCUGACUCAUCGAGCGAUGUUGCGCCGAAAAUGAUUGGCGAUUAAAUCAUAUACCGAAGCUGCGGAUUUGCAGGGGAUUCGUCCCCUGUAAGUGGUAGGAGAGCGUAAUCAGUGCUGUGAAGCUAGACGGUAACGGAAAGUGGAGCGCUGAUUAGUGAGAAUGCAGACAUGAGUAGCGAUUAGCCAGAUGAGAAUUCUGGCCGCCGUAUACCCAAGGUUUCCUGGGCCAGGUUCGUCCUCCCAGGGUUAGUCGGGACCUAAGGCGAGGCCGUAAGGCGUAGUCGAUGGACAGCAGUUCAAUAUUCCUGCACCGGCUUGAGGUUAGUUGACAGUGACGCGGUGAGAAAAGUGGCUAAGUCAUCGAAAGACAGAGCUUAGACUUCGGUCGAAGCGUACCACUGGACGAUCCGCCGAGAAAAGCUAGUUAACAUGUGCCUCUUGUCGCCCGUACCGUAAACCGACACAGGUGGGUGAGUCGAGUAGACUAAGGCGCGCGAGAGAAACCACUCUAAGGAACUCGGCAAAAUAGCCCCGUAACUUCGGGAGAAGGGGUGCCUACUUCGGUAGGCCACAGUAAAUUGGGUCUGGCGACUGUUUAACAAAAACACAGCACUCUGCUAAGUCGUGAAGACGACGUAUAGGGUGUGACACGUGACCAAUGCCGAAAGAUUAAGGUGACUUGUUAGCCGUAAGGCGAAGCUCGGAGCUGAAGUCCCGGUGAAUGUCGGCCGUAACUAUAACGGUCCUAAGGUAGCGAAAUUCCUUGUCGGGUAAGUUCCGACCUGCACGAAUCGUGUAACGACCGGACCGCUGUCUCGGAGUGGUUCUCGGCGAAAUUGUAGUGGCGGUGAAGAUGCCGCCUGCCCGCAGUAGGACGGAAAGACCCUAUGCACCUUUACUAUAAGCUGGUAUUGGGUUCUGGUCUUUGAUGCGUAGCAUAGGUGGGAGACGUUGAAUUGGCGGUUUCGGUCGUCAAGGAGUCAUCAGUGAAAUACCACUCUUUAAUGAUUAGGAUUCUAACCCCAACCCUGUUAGCCAGGUGGGGGACAGUGCCUGCGGGUUAGUUUGACUGGGGCGGUUUCCUCCUAAAAAGUAACGGAGGAGCGCGAAGGUACUCUCAGCACGGUUGGCAACCGUGCGUCGAGCGUAUGGGUAUAAGAGUGCUUAACUGUGAGACCUACAAGUCGAGCAGAUGCGAAAGCAGGCCCAAGUGAUCCGAUGGUUGAAUGUGGAAUUGCCAUCGCUCAACGGACAAAAGGUACGCUAGGGAUAACAGGCUGAUCGCGCCCAAGAGUUCAUAUCGACGGCGCGGUUUGGCACCUCGAUGUCGGCUCAUCGCAUCCUGGGGCUGGAGAAGGUCCCAAGGGUCCGGCUGUUCGCCGGUUAAAGCGGUACGCGAGCUGGGUUCAGAACGUCGUGAGACAGUUCGGUCCUUAUCCACUGUGGGCGUAGGAAACUUGAGGGGUUCAUUCUCUAGUACGAGAGGACCGAGAAUGACGCACUUCUGGUGUGGCAGUUGUUCCGUCAGGGGCAGCGCUGCGUAGCCAAGUGCGGAAGAGAUAAGCGCUGAAAGCAUCUAAGUGCCAAGCUCCUCCCAAGAUAAGGUUUCCCGGACGCAAGUCCCUUAAGACCCCCGGAAGACUACCGGGUUGAUAGGUCAGGCGUGUAAGCGUGGCAACAUGUUUAGCGGACUGAUACUAAUCGGUCGUGAGGCUUGAUCGC